rnacentral:rRNA from 1 species
UACGAAGGGGGCUAGCGUUGCUCGGAAUUACUGGGCGUAAAGCGCGCGCAGGCGGUCUUCCAAGUCAGUGGUGAAAGCCCGGAGCUCAACUCUGGAACUGCCUUUGAUACUGUCGAUCUAGAGUAUGGAAGAGGUGAGUGGAAUUCCGAGUGUAGAGGUGAAAUUCGUAGAUAUUCGCAAGAACACCAGUGGCGAAGGCGGCUCACUGGCCCGAUACUGACGCUGAGGCACGAAAGCGUGGGGAGCAAACAGG